AUGGGAUGAUGGAACUGGACAAUUCUAAAAAUGAAUCUAUCUGACAGAUAUUGACGUCUUAAGUUUAAUGGAGGGUCACAACAUUCUAUUUGCAAAGCAUUAACCGGGCUUGAUUUCAUGGCACCAGAAACAAUCCUUAAAGCCCUAGACUGUAUGAGGUCUAGUUUUCUAAAGCCAGCUACAUUACCUGGAUCUAAGAAAAAGGUCCCAAAAUCCAGUACACUUCUAAUAACAGCAUUAUACACCAACCUCAAUGUGGCUGGGUGAGCACCCCACCAAACUCCACUGAGACAUCUCAGCAUGUUCAAGUGUCGCUCACAUUUACCAACUACAAAUUCGCAGUGUGGUUGACCUGUUAGUUUAGAAUCAAGUAUAACUCCUAAGAACUUUACUUGAUUAUAAACGGGUAAUAUAUGACGAUCAUAUGUUAUAGUAGGUGAGGGAGGAGAACGGGAUUUAGUGAAAAGUACAACGGAACUUUUUGAGGGAGACAGAUCUAGGCCAUUUGCAUCCAUCCAGGAUUUUAGCAAAGAUAAAGAGGAGGAAACAUGUUGUUCAGCAAUACUUACACACAUAUCAGAGGCAUAAAUAACUAAGUCAUCGGCAUAUUGUAAUAAACUAACUGAAUCUCCAAUUGAAUCUUCUAGGUCAUAUGUAUAAAUAUUGUACAAUAAAGGGCUCAGAACAGACCCUUGUGGCAAGCCCCUCCAUACCAGCCUACUAGGCAUAUAAGGGCCGCCAACAUCUAAAAUAAUUUUCCUCUCCGAAAGAAGAUUUACAAUGAAAUUAGUUAAAAAAUAAGGAACCUUUAAUUUAUUUAAUUUACUUUUAAGAAUAUGUAACAAAACGUUAUCAUAAGCCGAAUUAAUAUCCAAGAAAGCAGCGACUACUGACUUUUUAUCUGUGAAAGCAUUACGAAUGUCCGUAACUAAUAUGCCUAAAUUGUCACAUACACUUUUACCUUUUCGAAAUCCAAACUGAGUUGGGGACAGAUAUUCGUUAUUUUCUAUAUACCAUUCAAGCCGAUUUUUAAUUAAAUGUUCAACAACUUUUGUUAUCACCGAUGACAAGACAAUCGGACGAUAUGAUUUAAUAUCAGAUCGUACCUUAGACGGUUUUAAAAAUGGCAGCACUAUUUGACUUCGCCAAGAUGGCGGUAUGUCAUUUGUCAAUAGAACUUUAUUUAUUAAAUUUAAAAAGAAAUUUAAUCCAUUUUCACCAAGGUGAGACAGAAAUGAAUAUGGGAUCCCAUCUUCCCCAGGUGCACUGUCACUGACGUAAUUUAAUACACCUUUUAAUUCCACUAACGUGAAAGGUAGAUUUAGAGAGGAAGGGGCGGCAUCAGAGUUAUUUUGUUUAGAAGAGUGGAUAAAAUCUCUAAGUGGAGCAGAAGGAGGAGCCAAGCGAUCAAGGAAUUGAUCAGCUAACUCUAUAGGAAGUAACGACGUAUUAGAAGGAUUGACAGCUGACCUAAAUCUUUUAAUAUUUCGCCAAAUGACAGUUGAAUGUGUUCCAGGUGAUAAGGGAAAUGAAAUGAUUAUUGGAUAAUGAUCACUAUUGUAAGAUGAACACAAAGUAGACCAAGAUAGAGAAGAUGCUAAAUUGGGAGUACAAAUGGACAGGUCAAUGGCACUAAUUGCUUCACCAGGUUUUGUGAGGCGAGUAGGAGAACCCGAGUUUAAAAUGCACAGGUUAUACAUGUCUAAGAUAUCCAAUAAUGCAUACCCAUAACUAUUAGAAACCGAGCUACCCCAAGACGUGUGAUGAGAGUUAAAAUCACCCAGAAUCAUGAAAGGCUGAGGAAGCACUGAAAUUAAGUUUUUAAUUUCAUUGAAAAUUUGCAAGGAGGGGUGAGGGACAUAGAUAGAGACAAAACAGAUAUCAUCAACAAUAGCUGCAAUAAUAGAAAAGCUGUCACUAUGUGAAGGAAGAGGGAAGGAAGAAAAGGUGCUAGAGUUUCUGAUGAGCAGGCAUACACCACCAUACCCAUCAGCCCUGUCUUCUCUUAAGCAUAAAUAACCAGGGAUUUUAAAUACAUGAUCUGGCUUUAACCAGGUUUCAGAUAGAGAAAAAAUAAAAGGAUUAAAAGUA